CAUGUGGCUACAAAUGCUUUUUCUGGCCAAUAUUAUCCGACUAUUUCUAACUGUUUAUUUUAUAUUGCCGCACUUGCUAAUUUGUUUGUUGAUCUUAGCGAGGGAGGGGACAUUUAUGAACUUGCAAUAAAUGAAAUGAAAAAAAAGUUUAAAAAAUAUUUUUUUCCAAUUCCUCCUAUUUUUGGUGUAUCUGCUAUGUUAAAUCUAACUAUGAAAUUAGG
rnacentral:lncRNA from 1 species